rnacentral:lncRNA from 1 species
AUUUUCAGGGGAACUACGUCGCCCUGAUCCUCAUACCAGAUGAGGUACGUAGGCAGGAGAUGAGCUGAUCUCUCCGGGCGCCCUUUUUCUUUUUUAACCCCUUUGUGUGUGUUGGAGUAUGACAUAAGUCCAACGAUUGGCAGUUGGUUUCCUGUGUGUGUUUGUUGGUUCGGAGUCUGAUGUAAGUCCAGCGAUUGGCAUUCGGUUUCCAGGUUUGCCUGUUGGUUCGGAGUCUGACGUAAGUCCAGCGAUUGGCAGUCGGUUUCCUGUUUGUGUU